CUAUCAUUUCUACGUUUAUUGGACCGCGAUUUCGGGUAAAAACUCUAAUUUGUCAUUAAAAUCAGAAAGAUCAUAUCAUAGGGAACAUGUGUACUAAGUUUCACGUUGAUUGAACUUCAACCUCAUCAAAAACUACCUUGACCAAAACUUUAACCUAAAGCGGGAUAGACGGACGGACGAACGAACGAACGGACAAAUGAACAGACGCAAAGACCGAAAAACGUUAUGCCCUUAGUAAGGCGUAAAAUGUAUCACAAUUUUUAGAUUGAUAAUGAGUCUCAAAUAUAAC
rnacentral:lncRNA from 1 species